GGAGGGAAGGAACCAAAACAAAAGCGGCCGGGCUGACUGACUGACUGAGGAGGCGGGCGGUUUUUUUUGGGGGGGGGUUCAGCCGCCAUCCCCUCCACGGUCCCCCCGUCAGCAGCAGCAUCGCCUCCCCGCCCCCCUCCUCGCCUUGGCUUGUGUCUGUGUGGAGGGAGGAGGCAGCCGCUCCUCCUCCUCCUCGUCGCUUUCGGGAUGUGGUGAGGGAGGCAGGGAAGGCUCGCCCGCUCCCUCCCUCCGCCUCGCAGCCCCUCCCUCACCCCCCCCUCACCCCACCCCAGAAAAAGAAACCCUCCGGGGCAAGAGGAAGGGAAGGAGGUGGAGCUGCCGCGCCCCGGAGGCAGCCGGACGCCCCCCGCCCCACUCACGCCCCCACCCCGACGCCCCUCAGGAGGUUUGGUGCUCUCAACUGCCUUUGCAAGACAUGGCCUCUCUGCAAUAAAAUUCUGGAUUCCACAUUGUUACCAACAUGGGGGCUACUUUGCAAAUUUUACCCCAUUUGCAGAACCCAAUCAUGGCAGCAUUUUGCCCCAAACUAUUAAACAGCUUUGGGGGCGAGCUGAUUAGACCAGAACAGCCAUGUUUCGGAACAGUCUCAAGAUGCUUCUUACGGGUGGGAAAUCAAACCGCAAAAACAGAUCCAGUGGUAAGUGAAGGAAGGAGUAUUUGAAUGCAGCACAAUCAUCCCAGCCCAGCAAAUGAAAUUUGCAUGUAGAAACUGGCUGCAAGGUGAAGUAGAAUAUUGCCAUGCCAGUAAUAUAAUGAUCCCAUUCCUUAUUCCAUAUCCUUAUUGAGACUCAACUAGUGGAUAGACUGCUCCCCACAUUGCUAAGAUCCCAGACGACUCGAGUUGAUGCUGAUGAUGCUUCUGAGACUUCAGUUAUUUUGUCACCCCUUAAUAUAAUGAUAACAGUAUAACUUUCAAGCCAGUUUCAUGCCUGAUGAGCUGAAUAAUACUGAAUGAGAAGGGAAGAAAGAGGAAAUGAUUCUGAUGAUUUAUGUGAUUCAUGGGCAACCAGAAAAACUUCCUCUAUAUCUUCUAGAUUGUAAUCCGGUAAGGCCACAUUAAAAAUUCAUAUUUAAAUGGGUGUGGCUUCAGGCUUGUGUACCCAGAUCCUCUGGGCCACGAGUCCAAUUAGGCUUGGCAGGGGUCUUAAUUUGUGCCAUGUGACAUGUUUACUGCAAACCAUGCCCACCUGUAGCACACCUGACAACAUACGUGACAUCAGCUUUGGGCCAGCAAAGAUGCAAAAGGACAAUGGAGAGUCUUACAGUGCUCCUUGGCAAGCGGAUCUUGCAUUCACCACAUUUAAAAUUUGGUUUCAAAUGCAAAUCCUGCUGGGAUUGGUUGCACUCUGGAGCUCCUAACUGGAGAUCUUGAAUACAACCAGUUCCUCUGAAAAUCAGAAUUUGUACUCAGUUCCAAACUUUUUGCAGUGAUCUUCAUUUGCAGCUGGUUUUAGCUCAAAGUGGACUGAAAAGAAAGAAUUGGAAUCUUUUUUCUUUUUUUUGAAGUUGGGUCUGUCCUGAAAUCAUGGUUAUGUCAGGCUAUCGGUGGGUGGCCCCAUCCUUCCGUCAUAAUGGCCCAUAGUGGUUGGGGGGGAACUUGCAACACUCUUAUUUAGAAGUUGGGCACAUUGAACUCAGUAUGAUUUGAUUUUGAGUAAAUAUGCAUAGGAUUGGGCUGCAAAUGAACUAAACCUUGUGUGAAUGAGAGCCAUUGUGCUUUGAGUUUCAAAUGUUUCUGCUAUAAUAUACAAUGUUCCUUUUGAUCUGAAGAAAAAUGUUUGUUUUGUCAUAUAGUGCACAAAAGAUGAAUUAUCCACAGACUUCUUUGCAGGAUAAUUUCUUUUCAAAUUCUGGCAAGACUUGAUGGCUUUAUUUUACAAAGUGGCAAUAUGCCUAAUGUGCAGUGUUUUAUUUAGUUGCUGUCCAAGUUGUGUUCUGGAGUUUCUGGAAAAAUUGUUACUGUGAUUUCCCCCCUGCUACAUAAAAGUUUUUGAUGGGUUUGCAGGACUGCCACUGAGCGCAAACCUUGACUCAGUGAGACCUGUUGGUUUGUGGAUCUACAACAACAGUGUUUUUUUGCUGGAAUAUGAAUUGCAAACUUUGAUUUGAUAUUUAGAAGUCAGAGGAACUAUGUUCAUUAUGCAGAGUAAGCUUGAAAAUAGGAAGCCACUCUAUGUUGGAUAUUUAAUAGACAAAACAUAGUUUAAAAAAAACCUUGUACCUAACCUGCUGGCUGUGUUUUGCAUAUCAUGGUAAGCCAUGACUCAUGGCUUACCAUGAACACACAGAUGGCUCUAACGUCACUCCUUCCUGCUGGUGAGUGGGAGCAACAAACUACUAUCAUUGGCUUAGCCUUAUGUCUGAACUAGGGAUCAUGGUUUGUUUCACUUAAGCAAAUCAUGAUCAAUUUUAUUUAUUUUUCAAGUUCGGUAUUAUGCCUUUCAGCUAUAGUGAAAAGUACUGUAGCUUCUUUCAUUUGGGUUUUAUUUGUUUUGAUUUUUACAAUGAACACAUUGACUUUUAUCAAAUUACAAUUCUUUGCGGUGUUUUCCCAAACUAAGCAGCUAGCACCAGCAAUCAGGAUAAAUGGAAGUAUGCUGAAGAUGUCAGUAUUUGGUGAUGUGGUCCUGUAAUUCUGGCUGACUCUUAUUUCAGCUUUCUCAUUUUUCAUCACCCUAGCGGAGUUGUUUUCAGCUUUUUCACUCACAACUUCUUGUUAGUUCUUUUAGAUUCCAUGAUAUAGUAACAAAAACUAUAACAAAAGAAAAAACAGAAAUUGGUGUGUGCCUGCAUGUGUGUGAUUAUAUAGAUAUCAAAAGUUUUAUACUUUUACUCAAAAAAAGCACUGCUUUAAUAUGAAGUAUUGGGUUUUUAACUUGCAAGAUGAAUGUGAAGGGAUGCACUCUCAAUUAUUCUUAAACACAACACUAGGGCUAUUACAGUUGUACCUUGGUUCCUGAACGGAAUCCAUUCCAGAAGUCCGUUCGA